AACGAACGCUGGCGGCAUGCCUAACACAUGCAAGUCGAACGAGAUCUUCGGGUCUAGUGGCGCACGGGUGCGUAACGCGUGGGAAUCUGCCCUUUGGUUCGGAAUAACAGUUGGGAACGACUGCUAAUACCGGAUGAUGACGAAAGUCCAAAGAUUUAUCGCCAGAGGAUGAGCCCACGUAGGAUUAGCUAGUUGGUGUGGUAAAGGCGCACCAAGGCGACGAUCCUUAGCUGGUCUGAGAGGAUGAUCAGCCACACUGGGACUGAGACACGGCCCAGACUCCUACGGGAGGCAGCAGUGGGGAAUAUUGGACAAUGGGCGAAAGCCUGAUCCAGCAAUGCCGCGUGAGUGAUGAAGGCCUUAGGGUUGUAAAGCUCUUUUACCCGGGAUGAUAAUGACAGUACCGGGAGAAUAAGCUCCGGCUAACUCCGUGCCAGCAGCCGCGGUAA
rnacentral:rRNA from 1 species